CAUAUUUAGCAUGACUGGCUAG
rnacentral:miRNA from 1 species